rnacentral:rRNA from 1 species
AGUGAACGCUGGCGGUAGGCCUAACACAUGCAAGUCGAACGGCAGCACAGUAAGAGCUUGCUCUUACGGGUGGCGAGUGGCGGACGUGUGAGGAAUACAUCGGAAUCUACUUUUUCGUGGGGGAUAACGUAGGGAAACUUACGCUAAUACCGCAUACGACCUACGGGUGAAAGCAGGGGAUCGUCGGACCUUGCGCGAUUGAAUGAGCCGAUGUCUGAUUAGCUAGUUGGGGGGGUAAAGGCCCACCAAGGCGACGAUCCGUGGCUGGUCUGAGAGGAUGAUCAGCCACACUGGAACUGAGACACGGUCCAGACUCCUACGGGAGGCAGCAGUGGGGAAUAUUGGACAAUGGGCGCAAGCCUGAUCCAGCCAUACCGCGUGGGUGAAGAAGGCCUUCGGGUUGUAAAGCCCUUUUGUUGGGAAAGAAAAGCAGCAGGUUAAUACCCCGCUGUUCUGACGGUACCCAAAGAAUAAGCACCGGCUAACUUCGUG